GUGCCAGCAGCCGCGGUAAUACGAAGGGUGCAAGCGUUAAUCGGAAUUACUGGGCGUAAAGCGCGCGUAGGUGGUUCAGCAAGUUGGAUGUGAAAGCCCCGGGCUCAACCUGGGAACUGCAUCCAAAACUACUGGGCUAGAGUAUGGUAGAGGGUGGUGGAAUUUCCUGUGUAGCGGUGAAAUGCGUAGAUAUAGGAAGGAACACCAGUGGCGAAGGCGACCACCUGGACUAAUACUGACACUGAGGUGCGAAAGCGUGGGGAGCAAACAGGAUUAGAAACCCGUGUAGUCC
rnacentral:rRNA from 1 species